CCUACGGGUGGCAGCAGUGAGGAAUAUUGGUCAAUGGGCGGGAGCCUGAACCAGCCAUGCCGCGUGAAGGCGAGUGCCCUACGGGCGUUAAACUUCUUUUGUGCGGGAGCAAUAAGGGCCACGCGUGGCCCGAUGAGAGUACCGCACGAAUAAGCAUCGGCUAACUCCGUGCCAGCAGCCGCGGUAAUACGGGGGAUGCGAGCGUUAUCCGGAUUUAUUGGGUUUAAAGGGUGCGUAGGCGGCGCUUCAGGUCAGCGGUGAAAUUGAGAGGCUCAACCUCUUCGAGCCGUUGAAACUGGUUGUCUUGAGUGAGCGAGAAGUAUGCGGAAUGCGUGGUGUAGCGGUGAAAUGCAUAGAUAUCACGCAGAACUCCGAUUGCGAAGGCAGCAUACCGGCGCUCAACUGACGCUCAUGCACGAAAGUGUGGGUAUCGAACAGGAUUAGAUACCCUUGUAGUC
rnacentral:rRNA from 1 species